GUUGAUAAAUAUUAGCUGUUGAAAAACAAAAUUAUCUCACCUAACCUUGAAAUGCUGAUUUAAGAUGACAGAAUAAAAAUGAAUAAUAUGCUAAACCUAAUCUACUGAACCUGUCUGCAGUCUGCACCAAAGAUAAUCCUAAUUAUCAGCCAUAGGCAUUUCUGGCCAACCAAAUCAAACAUGUUAAAAACCCAAGAUUAGUUUUCUAAAUUUCAGAUAUUUAGACAAUUAGUUUUCUAGUCCAACAUUUCAACAAAUUUAAUAAAUUAAAGGUCUU
rnacentral:misc_RNA from 1 species